UACGGGGGGGGCAAGCGUUGUUCGGAAUUACUGGGCGUAAAGGGCUCGUAGGCGGCCGUUUUAGUCCGACGUGAAAUCCCACGGCUCAACCGUGGAACUGCGUCGGAUACUGAAUGGCUUGAAUCCAAGAGAGGGAUGCGGAAUUCCAGGUGUAGCGGUGAAAUGCGUAGAUAUCUGGAGGAACACCGGUGGCGAAGGCGGCAUCCUGGAUUGGCAUUGACGCUGAGGAGCGAAAGCCAGGGGAGCAAAC
rnacentral:rRNA from 1 species